GAUGAAGAACGCAGCGAAAUGCGAUAAGUAAUGUGAAUUGCAGAAUUCAGUGAAUCAUCGAAUCUUUGAACGCACCUUGCGCCCUUUGGCUAUUCCGAAGGGCAUGCCUGUUUGAGUAUCAUGAACACCUCAACCCUCAUGGUUUGCCAUGACGGGCUUGGACUUUGGGGGUCUUGCUGGAUUGUAGUCAGCUCCCCUUAAACAAAUCAGCUUGCCAGUGUUUGGUGGCAUCACAGGUGUGAUAACUAUCUAUGCUUGUGGUGUUACAUCAGAUAACCUUCAGUGAUGGAGGUUCACUGGAGCUCAUAAAGGUGUCUCUCCUCUGUGAGGACAGCUCUUUGAAUGUUUGAUCUCAAAUCAGGCAGGACUACCCGCUGAACUUAAGCAUAUCAAUAAGCGGAGGA
rnacentral:misc_RNA from 1 species